rnacentral:rRNA from 1 species
CCUACGGGUGGCAGCAGUGGGGAAUAUUGGUCAAUGGGCGCGAGCCUGACCCAGCCACGUCGCGUGAAGGAUGACUGCCCUACGGGUUGUAAACUUCUUUUUUAAAGGAAUAAAGUGAGGCACGUGCGCCUUUUUGUAUGUACUUUAUGAAUAAGGAUCGGCUAACUCUGGGCCAGCAGCCGCGGUAAUACGGAGGAUCCGAGCGUUAUCCGGAUUUAUUGGGUUUAAAGGGAGCGUAGAUGGGUUGUUAAGUCAGUUGUGAAAGUUUGAGGCUCAACCGUAAAAUUGCAAUUGAUACUGGCAGCCUUGAGUACAGUAGAGGUAGGCGGAAUUCGUGGUGUAGCGGUGAAAUGCUUAGAUAUCACGAAGAACUCCGAUUGCGAAGGCAGCUUACUAAACUGCCACUGACAUUGAGGCACGAAAGUGUGGGUAGCAAACAGGAUUAGAUACCCUAGUAGUC